rnacentral:lncRNA from 1 species
UACAUAUGUAUCAAAAGGAAAUUUCGACAUGGUUACGACGAAAAACCAUGUAUGUAACUUGAAAAGAAAAGAAUUUUCAAGAGAAUGUGUUGACUUGAUAACAAAAGAGCCAACAGUUACAAUAAUGCGGGUCAUUCGAAUCACAAAUCAAUAAUUAGAUUUAGCGAAAUAACAUUUGAACUUUGAUGAAACGCUUAUUCGAAACAAAACCACAUGCGUAACAAACGAUACACUAAUGAUCGUGAUACAAUGACCAUUAAGAGGAGUAGAGAUGUGAAAAUCUACUCACUAGAUGCAAAGGUCGGAAUUCCAAUAAAAGAAAUCUGAGGACUUUACCUGGGGUUUCAUGUGACGUCCAGUUGUUAGGUGACAUUACCAUGGAAUGUAGAACAUAGCGUAUUCGUCUUUAUGAGUUAGGGGGAAUGCGGAGACAUACGUCUUCUCCUUGGCGUGUUUCAUGUCGUUGCAGGACCGCGUGUCAAACUGCCGCUUCCUGAUCGAUAGUUCUCCUGCUGACAGGAAUCUAGCGUCGUCGUUGAAUUGCGCCGUCGUUUCUUCUCAAAGGCCUCGCCUCGAUAGUCGUAUGUGACGUGCUUCAACCUCCGUUGACGUACAUAUUGAGUUUCGCGUAUACCUGUGCACUAUCGUUUCGUUUCGCGUAGAAUGUGAUGUAUCCCGACAUCCUUUGACGUAAAGAUUGAGUUUUCUCGUGCACUAGCGUUUCGUUAU